rnacentral:ncRNA from 1 species
AAAUUGAAGAGUUUGAUCAUGGCUCAGAUUGAACGCUGGCGGCAGGCCUAACACAUGCAAGUCGAGCGGAAACGGCAGUAUUGAAGCUUCGGUGGAUUUACUGGACGUCGAGCGGCGGACGGGUGAGUAACGGCUGGGAACCUGCCCUGAUGAGGGGGAUAACCGUUGGAAACGACGGCUAAUACCGCAUAAUGUCUACGGACCAAAGGUGGCCUCUACAUGUAAGCUAUCGCGUUGGGAUGGGCCCAGUUAGGAUUAGCUAGUUGGUAAGGUAAUGGCUUACCAAGGCGACGAUCCUUAGCUGGUUUGAGAGGAUGAUCAGCCACACUGGGACUGAGACACGGCCCAGACUCCUACGGGAGGCAGCAGUGGGGAAUAUUGCACAAUGGGGGAGACCCUGAUGCAGCCAUGCCGCGUGUGUGAAGAAGGCCUUCGGGUUGUAAAGCACUUUCAGCAGUGAGGAAGGUGGUGUACUUAAUAGGUGCAUGGCUUGACGUUAGCUGCAGAAGAAGCACCGGCUAACUCCGUGCCAGCAGCCGCGGUAAUACGGAGGGUGCGAGCGUUAAUCGGAAUUACUGGGCGUAAAGCGCAUGCAGGCGGUUUGUUAAGUCAGAUGUGAAAGCCCGGGGCUCAACCUCGGAACCGCAUUUGAAACUGGCAGGCUAGAGUCUUGUAGAGGGGGGUAGAAUUUCAGGUGUAGCGGUGAAAUGCGUAGAGAU